ensembl:misc_RNA Metazoa_SRP Metazoan signal recognition particle RNA
GCUGGGUGCGGUGGCGGGCACCUGUAAUCCCAGCUACUAGGGAGGCUGAGGCAGGAGAAUUGCUUGAAGCCGGGAGGUGGGGUUUGCAGUAAGCUGAGAUCGUGCCACUGCACUCUAGCCUGGAUGACAGAGCAAGACUCUGCCUCAA